GUUGGGGCUCAGUGGUAGAGUGCUUGCCUAGCAUGUAUGAGGCACUGGGUUCGAUCCCCAGCGCCACA
rnacentral:tRNA from 1 species